rnacentral:lncRNA from 1 species
AUGCCGGAGGAUGAGCCGGGAUGGGGCUGGAAUUCUGCGCUGGGAAGGGAAAGCACCGGUGGAUUUGGGACCGUGAAAUGCUUUGAGAGUCCGGGUGAGGAGGAGCCCCGAGAACUCCCCAGGACCUCCCGCCCCCCGCCCAGGAUUUGCUGCGUUUCCCUUUUUUUAGUGCCAAAACCGACCCCAUCGCCCCCUCCCGGGUCUGCUGGUGGCUCCGUGUCCAGCUGUGUCCAGCUGUGUCCAGCUGUGGUGUCCAGCUGUGGUGUCCAGCUGUGGUGUCCAGCUGUGUCCAGCCAUGUCCAGCUGUGGUGUCCAGCCAUGUCCAGCCACAUCCAGCUGUGUCCAGCUGUGUCCAGCUGUGUCCAUCCCUCCGUCCUGCCCAGGCCAGCGCUCAGCCCCGGACCCCAGGGGCAGGAGCUGUCCAUGAAACAGGUCCCAGUCGGUCUCUGGGGACGAGGAAAACCACAAAAAACUAUAAAAUAAACACCAGACUCCUGGUUGAACGGCUCUGCGUGUUAAUCCUUGGGGUGGAAAACACCUUUAAAGCAAAAGGAUUCGGGGCUGGGGAGGGAGGGACAAUCCUCAUUUAUGAAAAUCUGCCCAACCCAGGUCAUUUGGGGUCCUAAAAUAACCCAAACUCCCCUCAAAACGAGGGUCCUUCAGCUGCUGCUCUUGAAACUCGACUCUCUUUGGAAAUUAAAAUCCCCCUGCACACCUCAGCCUUCUCCUGGCCACUUUUGGCUUAAAAUCUCCCCUUUCUCGGGAAUUCUCCGUCGCCAAAGGGACUCUCAGUUGCUUUUCUCUUUCUCCCCGCCCAGAUCCUCUCCCGGAGGGCUCAGUCCCAGCCGCUGUUCUCCUCGCUUUGGUUUUGUUGUUGUUUUUUUUUUGCCCGAAUUUCCCUUUUUUAAACCAUUUUUGGCUCCUGCCCGCGCCCCGCCCCUUCCC